CCGUCCCAGUCAUUGGGGAGUAGCCUGUUCCAGAAUAUCUCUGGAAAAUUCGUAUCAACAUGCUCGUUUUAAUAAAACGUGGUACGAAUGCCGAAUCGGUUGGCAAGACCAUAGACAUAUAUAUCACCAUUGGU
rfam:Xenorhabdus innexi strain HGB1681 (deposited as PTA-6826 in the American Type Culture Collection) genome assembly, scaffold: XIS1_scaffold1